rnacentral:rRNA from 1 species
UACGUAGGGUGCAGGCGUUAAUCGGAAUUACUGGGCGUAAAGCGUGCGCAGGCGGUCUUUUAAGUCAGAUGUGAAAUCCCCGGGCUUAACCUGGGAACUGCGUUUGAAACUGGAAGGCUAGAGUGUGGCAGAGGGGGGGCGGAAUUCCACGUGUAGCAGUGAAAUGCGUAGAUAUGUGGAGGAACACCGAUGGCGAAGGCAGCCCCCCUGGGCUAACACUGACGCUCAUGCACGAAAGCGUGGGGAGCAAACAGG